UGAACCAUCGAGUCUUUGAACGCAAGUUGCGCCCGAAGCCAUUAGGCCGAGGGCAUGCCUGCCUGGGUGUCGCCCAUCGUUGCCCCAGUGCUUUGGCCUCGUGCCAGGCACCGAGCUGGGCGAAUGUUGGCUUCCCGUGAGAAACGCCUCACGGUUGGUUGAAAACUGAGUCCGUGGUGGAGGGCGUCGUGACGGAUGGUGGUUGAG
rnacentral:rRNA from 1 species